rnacentral:rRNA from 1 species
CUCUGNUGNGCGACGCCGCGUGAGCGAUGAAGCCCUUCGGGGUGUAAAGCUCUUUCGACGGGAACGAUAAUGACGGUACCCGAAGAAGAAGCUGCGGCUAACUACGUGCCAGCAGCCGCGGUAAUACGUAGGCAGCAAGCGUUGUUCGGAAUUACUGGGCGUAAAGAGUGUGUAGGCGGUGCUCCAAGUCUGGUGUGAAAUCUCCCGGCUCAACUGGGAGGGUGCGCUAGAAACUGGAAUGCUAGAGGAUGGGAGAGGUAAGCGGAAUUCCUGGUGUAGCGGUGAAAUGCGUAGAUAUCAGGAGGAACACCUGUGGUGUAGACAGCUUACUGGACCAUUUCUGACGCUGAGACACGAAAGCGUGGGUAGCAAACAGGAUUAGAUACCCUGGUAGUCCACGCCCUAAACGAUGCAUACUUGGUGUGAGCGAUUCAUUUCGUUCGUGCCGGAGCUAACGCGUUAAGUAUGCCGCCUGGGGAGUACGGUCGCAAGGCUGAAACUCAAAAAAAUUGACGGA